UGCCCCUUCUCCCGGCAGAGCCAGAGGAUUGGAAGCAGCAACAUCAAACCCCUGUGUGGCUCGCAGGAAUGAACACAAACACGCCCUUGUAGCUGGACAGAUGGGAGCCCGAGAGCUCAGGUGCUGGAGCGCUGCGUUUGUCAGUGAAGCUCGUACCAAGGAAAAAGAAGUCAAGCCUCAGAGUCUCCUGCCCUCAUGCGACGGAAAGUGAGUGAGAGCAGCGAGCCUGUGACCGUUGGUGAGGCCAGGCAAGAGGCCUCCAUCUGGGAGCCGAGCAAUCGCCAGUCUCGGUGAGGACACGGGUAGGUGUGCAUUCCCACAGGUGAGGUCUCGGGAGCCAUGGAGAAGUC